CGUGCGGCUGGAACGGGGGCCGUUACACUGUAAGAGAGUGAGUAGCAGGUCUCACAGUGAACCGGUCUCUUUUCCUGCUGUGUC
rnacentral:pre_miRNA from 12 species